CCCACUUCCAGGUCGCCUCACUUCCUCCUCUUCGCCAUCGCCUGUGCAGACGUCCGAUGGGCGGACGCUGCGUCUAUGGGGCUGGCUCGCCCGUAAUCUGCCAUUCAACGUGCUAUUGGUCAGCCACGUUUUGCCACUGCCGCUGGGAGACCUGAAGUGCUCCGACCCUCUCCAGUGUGUGUGCGUCAUCGACGCUGCCUGAUCGAUGUUAACUGAUGUGCGGUGUGACGCUGUUUGGAAGACCCGCUGCUGCUUUGCUGCAUGUUUUGCUUAGUGUGCUGCUCGCAUCACUCCUGUGCUGGCUUUAUUCUGCUGGGCUUUGCUCGUGCUCGCUGUAGGCGGGAUGUUCUGUGCCCACCGACAGAACUUCUUCACCCCUAUUUAGUUAGCUCCUUCUUUCUUUUGCCUCAG